UUUUUUUUUUUUUUUUUUUAAAGUUUCGUUAAAAAGUCUUAACCUGUUUGUUCAUCUCUAUUGCAUUAAUGUUCUUGUGUUUCUGCUGAAUAGUGUUGUUGUGUGCCGUCCAAUUAGUUGGACAAUGAAACAGUUUGUGUAUUGUCGUACUGGUUAAGCUUCUUAUGUAGUCUUGAAUGUUGUUAUGAACAUCAAAAUAAACUCCUUAAAGAAA